AUUGAACGCUGGCGGCAUGCUUUACACAUGCAAGUCGAACGGUAACAGGCGGCAAGUUGCUGACUAGUGGUGAACGGGUGAGUAAUGCAUCCGAACGUGCCCAGUCGUGGGGGAUAACUACUCGCAAGAGUAGCUAAUACCGCAUACGAUCUAUUGAUUAAAACGGGGGACCGUAAGGCUUCGCGCGGUUCUUGCGGCCGAUGUCAGAUUAGUUAGUUGGUAGGGUAAAGGCUCACCAAGGCAACGAUCUGUAGCUGAUCUGAGAGGACGACCAGCCACACUGGAACUGAGACACGGCCCAGACUCCUACGGGAGGCAGCAGUGGGGAAUUUUGGACAAUGGGCGCAAGCCUGAUCCAGCAAUGCCGCGUGCAGGAAGAAGGUCUUCGGGUUGUAAACUGCUUUUAUACGGGAAGAAACGGCUCUGGUUAAUACCCGGGGCUAAUGACGGUACCGUAAGAAUAAGCACCGGCUAACUACGUG
rnacentral:rRNA from 1 species